GCGCCUGUAGCUCAGUUGGAUAGAGCGCCGGACUACGAAUCCGUAGGUCACAAGUUCGAAUCUUGUCAGGCGCGCCA
rnacentral:tRNA from 1 species